rnacentral:rRNA from 1 species
GAUGAACGCUGGCGGCGUGCUUAACACAUGCAAGUCGAACGGGAAAUACUUUAUUGAAACUUCGGUGGAUUUAAUUUAUUUCUAGUGGCGGACGGGUGAGUAACGCGUGGGUAACCUGCCUUAUACUGGGGGAUAACAGCCAGAAAUGACUGCUAAUACCGCAUAAGCGCACAGAACCGCAUGGUUCGGUGUGAAAAACUCCGGUGGUAUAAGAUGGACCCGCGUUGGAUUAGCUAGUUGGCAGGGCAGCGGCCUACCAAGGCGACGAUCCAUAGCCGGCCUGAGAGGGUGAACGGCCACAUUGGGACUGAGACACGGCCCAGACUCCUACGGGAGGCAGCAGUGGGGAAUAUUGCACAAUGGGGGAAACCCUGAUGCAGCGACGCCGCGUGAAGGAAGAAGUAUCUCGGUAUGUAAACUUCUAUCAGCAGGGAAGAUAAUGACGGUACCUGACUAAGAAGCCCCGGCUAACUACGUGCCAGCAGCCGCGGUAAUACGUAGGGGGCAAGCGUUAUCCGGAUUUACUGGGUGUAAAGGGAGCGUAGACGGCGCAGCAAGUCUGAUGUGAAAGGCAGGGGCUUAACCCCUGGACUGCAUUGGAAACUGCUGUGCUUGAGUGCCGGAGGGGUAAGCGGAAUUCCUAGUGUAGCGGUGAAAUGCGUAGAUAUUAGGAGGAACACCAGUGGCGAAGGCGGCUUACUGGACGGUAAC